GGACAACCUACCCUAAGGAGGGGGAUAACCCCGGGAAACUGGGGAUAAUACCCCAUAGACUAUGGAUGCUGGAAUGCUCUGUAGUUGAAAGGUCCGCCGCCUUAGGAUGGGUCUGCGGCCGAUUAGGUUGUUGUUGGGGUAACGGCCCAACAAGCCUGUAAUCGGUACGGGUUGUGGGAGCAAGAGCCCGGAGAUGGAUUCUGAGACACGAAUCCAGGCCCUACGGGGCGCAGCAGGCGCGAAAACUUUACAAUGCGAGAAAUCGUGAUAAGGGAACUCCGAGUGCCCGUAAAAUCGGGCUGUUAAUCUGUUUAAAUAACAGGUUGAGAAAGGGCCGGGCAAGACCGGUGCCAG
rnacentral:rRNA from 1 species